rnacentral:rRNA from 1 species
AUUGAACGCUGGCGGCAGGCCUAACACAUGCAAGUCGAGCGGAGCGGCGGACGGGUGAGUAAUGCCUAGGAAUCUGCCUGGUAGUGGGGGAUAACGUCCGGAAACGGGCGCUAAUACCGCAUACUAUCAGAUGAGCCUAGGUCGGAUUGGCUAGUUGGUGGGGGAAAGGCCUACCAAGGCGACGAACCCUAGCUGGUCUGAGAGGAUGACCAGCCACACUGGAACUGAGACACUGUCCCGACUCCUACGGGAGGCAGCAGUGGGGAAUAUUGCACAAUGGGCGCAAUCCUGAUGCAGCCAUGCCGCGUGUAUGAAGAAGGCCUUCGGGUUGUAAAGUACUUUCAGCGGGGAGGCGUUACCCGCAGAAGAAGCACCGGCUAACUCCGUGCCAGCAGCCGCGGUAAUUC